rnacentral:rRNA from 1 species
CCUACGGGGGGCAGCAGUGGGGGAUAUUGCACAAUGGGGGAAACCCUGAUGCAGCGACGCCGCGUGUGGGAAGACGGUCUUCUGGAUUGUAAACCACUGUCCCCAGGGACGAAAAUGACGGUACCUGGGGAGGAAGCUCCGGCAAACUACGUGCCAGCAGCCGCGGUAAUACGUAGGGAGCAAGCGUUGUCCGGAAUUACUGGGUGUAAAGGGAGCGUAGGCGGGGAUGCAAGUUGGGUGUAAAAACUACCGGCUCAACCGAUAGUCGCACUCAAAACUGCAGCUCUUGAGUGAAGUAGAGGCAGGCGGAAUUCCUAGUGUAGCGGUGAAAUGCGUAGAUAUUAGGAGGAACACCAGUGGCGAAGGCGGCCUGCUGGGCUUUUACUGACGCUGAGGCUCGAAAGUGUGGGGAGCAAACAGGAUUAGAUACCCUUGUAGUC